rnacentral:lncRNA from 1 species
AAUUAUAGACUGAUCCUUUCUUUGUCAGUGGGCAAACAUACAAAAUCAGCAGGGGAUCAAAUACUCUUUUCCCCCACUGUACAUUGUUUAUGAGGAUUGCCUGCUGCAGAGAUGUCAAGUUUGAAGCUGCACAUGCAACAUAGAGAAGACCAGCAAGGGGACCCUCAGCAUCAUGCAGACAUGCCCUAGCUCAUCUCUGAUGAGGGGCCAGGAGCUGAUCUACGCUGCCAUGCCCAUCAAUGGGGUGCUGACAAAAACCUUACCUCCAGCCUCACCUCUUGCCAUCUCACCAAUGGUUGUCGAUGGGGAGACCAUAAUUGAUAGGUUUAGUCUGACCUGUUCAAACUUUAACAUAGUAUACAGUCGUGGCCAAAAGUUUUGAGAAUGACACAGAUAUUAAUUUUCACAAAGUUUGCUGCUUCAGUGUCUUUAGAUAUUUUUGUCAGAUGUUACUAUGGAAUACUGAAGUAUAAUUACAAGCAUUUCAUAAGUGUCAAAGGCUUUUAUUGACAAUUACAUGAAGUUGAUGCAAAGAGUCAAUAUUUGCAGUGUUGACCCUUUCUCUGCAAUCUGCCAUGGCAUGCUGUCAAUUAACUUCUGGCCCACAUCCUGACUGAUGGCAGCCCAUUCUUGCAUAAUCAAUGCUUGGAGUUUGUCAGAAUUUGUGGGUUUUUGUUUGUCCACCCGCCUCUUGAGGAUUGACCACAAGUUCUCAAUGGGAUUAAGGUCUGGGGAGUUUCCUGGCCAUGGACCCAAAAUAUCCAUGUUUUGUUUCCCGAGCCACUUAGCUAUCACUUUUGCCUCAUGGCAAGGUCCUCCAUCAUGCUGGAAAGGCAUUGUUCGUCACCAAACUAUUCCUGGAAGGUUGGGAGAAGUUGCUCUCGGAGGAUGUGUUGGUAUCAUUCUUUAUUUAUGGCUGUGUUCUUAGGCAAAAUUGUGAGUGAGCCCACUCCCUUGGCUGAGAAGCAACCCCACACAUGAAUGGUCUCAGGAUGCUUUACUGUUGGCAUGACACAGGACUGAUGGUAGCGCUCACCUUGUCUUCUCCGGACAAGCUUUUUUCCUGAUGCCCCAAACAAUCAGAAAGGGGAUUCAUCAGAGAAAAUGACUUUACCCCAGUCCUCAGCAGUCCAAUCCCUGUACCUUUUGCAGAAUAUCAGUCUGUCCCUAAUGUUUUUCCUGGAGAGAAGUGGCUUCUUUGCUGCCCUUCUUGACACCAGGCCAUCCUCCAAAAGUCUUUGCCUCACUGUGCGUGCAGAUGCACUCACACCUGCCUGCUGCCAUUCCUGAGCAAGCUCUGUACUGGUGGUGCCCCGAUCCCGCAGCUGAAACAACUUUAGGAGACGGUCCUGGCGCUUGCUGGACUUUCUUAGGCGCCCUGAAGCCUUCUUCACAACAAUUGAAACGCUCUCCUUGAAGUUCUUGAUGAUCCGAUAAAUGGUUGAUUUAGGUGCAAUCUUACUGGCAGCAAUAUUCUUGCCUGUGAAGCCCUUUUUGUGCAAAGCAAUGAUGACGGCACGUGAUUCCAUGCAGGUAACUAUGAUUGACAGAGGAAGAACAAUGAUUCCAAGCACCACCCUCCUUUUGAAGCUUCCAGUCUGUUAUUCGAACUCAAUCAGCAUGACAGAGUGAUCUCCAGCCCUGUCCUCAUCAACACUCCCACCUGUGUUAACGAGAGAAUCACUGACAUGAUGUCAGCUGGUCCUUUUGUGGCUUUACUGAAAUGCAGUGGAAUUUUUUGGGGGGGGAUUCAGUUCAUUUGCAUGGCAAAGAGGGACUUGCAAUUAAUUGCAAUUCAUCUGAUGACUCUUCAUAACAUUCUGGAGUAUAUGCAAAUUGCCAUUAUACAAACUGAGGCAGCAGACUUUGUGAAAAUUAAUAUUUGUGUCAUUCUCAAAACUUUUGGCCACGACUGCACACUUAGUGGUCAGUUUAACUUGUUCACAAAAAUGGAUUGCUCCUACUGACAGUGAGUCACUGGGCAGUGGCUUGCUAUAUAAAGCAGGCCGACAGGCAUCGAGGCAUUCAGUUACUGUUCGAUUGAAUGUUAGGAAUGGGCUAAACGAAUGGCCUAAGCGACUUCAAGCACGGUAUGAUAGUUAGUGCCAGGAGUGCCAGAUCCAGUGUCUCAGAAACGGCCUCCCUCCUAGGCUUUUCACACACAACAGUGUCGUGUUUACUGAGAAUGGUGUGACAAACAAAAAACAUCCAGUCAGCGGCAGUCCUGUGGGCGGCGGAAGGAGAUUUGCAAGAGAGGUCAAAGGAGAAUGGCAAGAAUCUUGCAAUCUAACCGGCGGGCCACAAACGGACAAAUAACGGCACAGUACAACAGUGGUGUGCAGAAUGGCAUCUUGGAACACACAACUCGUCGAUCCUUGUUACGGAUGGGCUAUUGCAGCAGAGGAUCACACAGGGUUCCACUCCUAUCUUCUAAAAACAAGAAGAAGCGACUCCUGUGGGCACACAAUCACCAACACUGAACAAUUGAGGAGUGGGAAAACAUUGCCUGGAACAUGACAGUGAGUUCAGUUUACUUGAGUGUCCUGCGCAGUCCCCAGACCUUAAUCCAGUAGAGCAUCUUUGGGAUGAGAUGGAACGGGCUGUUCGCAGCAUGAACGUACCCCCGUCCAAUCUGCAGAAAAUGUGUGAUGCCAUCGCGUUAGUAUGGACCAACAUCCCUUUGGAAUAUUUCCGACACCUUGUAGAAUGCCCCAAAGAAUUCAGGCUGUUCUGGAGUCAAUGGGGGGUCUGACCCAGUACUACUUAGAUGGGUGUACCUAAUAAAUUGUCAGAUAUCAAGAGGAUCUAUGGACCCAGCACUUGGAGACUUGCAAGAUGAUGUGAUAGAGUCCUGACUGACAGACAGGCUUGAUACUGAUGUCGCUGAAUGGAUGGAGACCUGGCACUCAGCAUUAACAUUUUACUAGACAACUUUACUUGUAUUGUCUUUUUUUAUUAUUUAAUUGAAUCGUAUGAGUCAUUAUGGGGAGAGAGAACUUGUGUGUAUUCUACACCAGGAUCAGGAAAUUCCUGUUGUAUACAGGACACAACACAGGAAGUUAUGACCGCUCUGACAUGUUUGCCAAGGUAGCCCUAUUACCACCAGACAAAAUGCCUAAGAAUGACAAUGAAGGUGCACAUUGUUAUAUUAGCAGAACACUGCUUCUAUGGUAUUAUGUAAAUGAUUGUUUAUUGUACAUGGACCUGUUGUUACAUUUGAAACACUUAGUUUCAAAUAUCUACAUAAAUUCAGCAAUUGCAUUUGUCUCAUAUUACACUGUAGGCUACUGACCUAUUCAACGCUUCACCAGGCAUCUCACCAUACUUUCAUAGUUAUUGAACUCAACCUGCAGGCGGUUUGUUUGUUGUGAUUGAGUGGGGGAAACAGCUGCAGGCAAGGUUUUGACAGAUGGGUGUGGCAAGGACACACCCAAGAAACACCCACAUCAAAUCACACCCCCAAGCCAACCCACAUUUGGCUUCUGUCAUGGCCUCCAGCAUUUCUUGCGGAGCAAGCCAAAAAACGAGGCCAAAUCAGCGGGUGCAGUUCCCCUUUAACUACAACAAUGAAUAUAAUUAAACACAAAGCUAAUUUCAAUCAAAGAUGUUGCAACUGCAGCUUCCUAUUUCAUGUGUAUAAAGUAGGGCCAAAUUCACUCUUUGUUUUAAGUGAGAUGUGAGAAAUUGGUGUGUGUUGAUUCCUGGAACAGAGUGCUUUUGGUCCUACAUUUAAAAGCAGUCCCAUUCCUUAUUUUGCUUAUAUCAAAUAGUGAAU